rnacentral:rRNA from 1 species
UACGUAGGGUGCAAGCGCUAUCCGGAAUUAUUGGGCGUAAAGAGCUCGUAGGCGGUUUGUCGCGUCUGCUGUGAAAACUGGAGGCUCAACCUCCAGCCUGCAGUGGGUACGGGCAGACUAGAGUGCGGUAGGGGAGAUUGGAAUUCCUGGUGUAGCGGUGGAAUGCGCAGAUAUCAGGAGGAACACCGAUGGCGAAGGCAGGUCUCUGGGCCACUACUGACGCUGAGAAGCGAAAGCAUGGGGAGCGAACAGG